UAUUAGAACAUGACAUACAAGCAGCUGGGAAAGGACCCCCUGUAUUGUUCCGCUCUUUCAUUCUAGUUAUAGCUUCCUUAUGGUGGAAGUAGUGAGUGGAUGAUCAAGAGUGUAAGAACAUUGCAGUUUUCUUACUUCAGUGCUCAUCUCUGGAAGAACAUUGAAAUGGAGGCUAUGGCAGAUCAUCUCCACAAGUUGGUACACUGACUCUCGGUGGUGUCUCACCCACCAUCACUUCUGCUCCUGGACCCAUGUCACUUCAAGGACCGUGGCAUCCUCUUCAGGACUCAGACCUCCGGCUGUGCCACACUCCCCAUUUCCGGGGGACAGUACUGCAGUCCAAUGGUCCAGCCAUUUCCUCAGUGCCAUGCCACCAACGUGUACUGGGGGUUGCCAGAUGGAGGUUGAGGAUCCAUUACUCCUACAGCAAAGGAUUUCCUUGGUGCUUGAUGCUGUUGAUCUGCUUGAGGAAUAAUGGAGGGAAGUAGGAUACAUUUGGCUAACAGCUUCUGGUUGUAGGAUUUGUGUUCGCAAACAAACAAACUUCCUUGACAGAUGUAACAAG